rfam:Erinaceus europaeus unplaced genomic scaffold scaffold00656, whole genome shotgun sequence
GAACAAAAGCUAGUCACAAGCUACAACACAUGUCACCCAAUGAUGGCCAUGGUUGAUUCUGCUGAUCUGUCUGGCUAGAUGGGUGUCUCCUUCCUCUCUCACCACUCCAUAUGCAUUCCUCCAGAAGUUGCUCCCUUGGUCUAAGGGAUGGACCUUCCCUGAACAGACACUGGUCUUCUUUCAGGGCACUCCCCUGCUAGGACCUCCAAACAAGCUCUCAAAGUCCAUUUGUAGGAGAUCAGAGGUUGGUCAAACUUUCAAGACUCCAGGUAUAUCCAAAUGAGGUACUGCAUAUGGCAGUCUGGCAGAAAGG